UGCAGAAGAGCACAGUGAGUGACUGACACAACAUUCAUAUGAUCACUUCUCAUCCCCAUCACCAGAAUCUUCCUCUGCUCUAAGGCCUGGAGGAGAAAACAACAGACUCUAAACAUCACAGUCCAGUGAGGUCUUGGCUGAGUUGUUGCUGCUGUCCUCUUCAAGCAGAGGAAUUGAGGAGGAUGCUGGUUACUUGUUCUUACAUACUACAGCAAAGAAUGGUCAGAUGAGAGACCCCCUCACCUCCUUUCACAGGUGAAUUGAACAGAUGGUGCCUCCAAGGGUGACAGGGGGCAAAAUGAGACCUCCCAACAUCAAAUGUGCUGACAGAAAUCAAGGAAGGAUUGUAAAACAGCCAAAGGAGGAAUGUUGCAAUGGUCAUUUUGAAAUAAAC